rnacentral:rRNA from 1 species
GAUGAACGCUGGCGGCGUGCCUAAUACAUGCAAGUCGAGCGAAGCGGGGACGGGUGAGUAACACGGGGAUAACCUCCUAUAAGACUGGGAUAACUUCGGGGAACCGGAGCUAAACCGGAUACUUACAGAUGGAUCCGCGCUGCAUUAGCUAGUUGGGAAGGUAAUGGCUUACCAAGGCAACGAUGCAUAGCGGACCUGAGAGGGGGAUCGGUCACCUCAGAACGGAACACCGGUACCGACUCCUACGGGAGGCAGCAGUAGGGAAUCUUCCGGAAUGGGCGAAAGCCUGACGGAGAACAGCCGCGUAGGUGAUGGGGGUAUGGGGAUCGUAAAACUCUGUUAUUAGGGAGGCGGUACCGAAUCAGAAAGCACCGGCUAACUACGUGCCAGCAGCCGCGGUAAUAC